CGUAGGGUGCGAGCGUUAAUCGGAAUUACUGGGCGUAAAGCGUGCGCAGGCGGUUCGCUAAGACCGAUGUGAAAUCCCCGGGCUUAACCUGGGAACUGCAUUGGUGACUGGCGGGCUAGAGUAUGGCAGAGGGGGGUAGAAUUCCACGUGUAGCAGUGAAAUGCGUAGAGAUGUGGAGGAAUACCGAUGGCGAAGGCAGCCCCCUGGGCCAAUACUGACGCUCAUGCACGAAAGCGUGGGGAGCAAACAGG
rnacentral:rRNA from 1 species